ACUCAUGGGGUCGCAAAGAGUCAGACACGACUGAGCGACUGAGCUGAACUCGAAAAAGGAAGGGUUGAUUGAGGGCUGGAGAAGGGAAAUUCCCUGUAGAGCUGAACAUAGGCUGGGUCGUGAAGCUGGGCAGGGUCAGGCGGGUGACGCAUGCGGGUCCUGGAGGAUGAACAUUUACUGAGCACUUGUGACAUCGUGCCAGCACCUUUACCAGAUACACAGGCUACCUCACUGUAUUCUCAUAACAGCCUCAUGGGCUGAAUGUAACUACUCUCACAUUGCAGGCAGGACAACUAAUGCUCAGAAUACUUAGAUCACCUUAGGGGAUAUGGCCAGUAAGUGGAGGGACAUGGAUUAGAACUCAGUUACCCCUGGCUUGAGAGUCAAAUCAUUUUCUACUACAACUGCAACUGCUCUUUUUUAAACAGUAGAAGCCUCUACUCGGCUGAAAUCUGACACGGAAUCUCGGGAUACAAGAGAGAGAGGAGCAAGGGUCUCUGGUUGGAGCCAUCAUGCCGAACCCAGAGCCGCCUUCGUCAUCCCCCUUGCUACCUGCCCCGAGGCUUUUCCAUCCACAACCACAGUGCCACCUGCCCUCUUUUUCUUGGCCACACUGAGUGGCACAAGAGAUCUUAGUUAUCUGAUCAGUGAUCAAAUUGGUGCCCCCUACAGUCAAAGCACAAAAUCUUAACCAGUGGAUUACUGAAGAAGUCCCCAAACAGCCCCUCUGCACACCACCUUCCCAACAGGAAGAGAAACUCACCAGCAGGGAGUCAGAAACAGGCCAAACUGUCUCCAGCCAAGUUUCUAAAGAAAUCAGGCAGUGGAUCUGAGAAAUUCUGAAGGACUUCCAUGGCCCUGUGAGACAUCACCGUUUGGGACGUCCAUGUCUUCAGCAAGAUUCUCGAACCCCUUCUCCUGUCCCGUCUAAGGGACAGAGGUGUGAGAAAGGAAGGCAGGGGAUGAGAAUGAGGCCCCCUCUCUUGGGGUGCUGCAAGGAGAAGUGUUGACUUUAGAAAAAGAAAAAAUGCCAAAACAAAACCUUUCUGCCCUUCUGUAGCUGCUUAAACACACUGAAACUGCUCAACUCCGGUCCGGCUCUGCUCUAACUGCCCAUGUCUUCCUUCCUAACUAAAAAUAAUUCCUUCCUUCAAAAUAUCUGAGCACAUAGGAGCCUUCCCUCCUCCUAAGAUGCCA
rnacentral:lncRNA from 1 species